CUGGCGGCGUGCCUAAUACAUGCAAGUCGAACGCACUCUCGUUUAGAUUGAAGGAGCUUGCUCCUGAUUGAUAAACAUUUGAGUGAGUGGCGGACGGGUGAGUAACACGUGGGUAACCUGCCCUAAAGUGGGGAUAACAUUUGGAAACAGAUGCUAAUACCGCAUAAAACCUAACACCGCAUGGUGUAGGGUUGAAAGAUGGUUUCGGCUAUCACUUUAGGAUGGACCCGCGGUGCAUUAGUUAGUUGGUGAGGUAAAGGCUCACCAAGACCGUGAUGCAUAGCCGACCUGAGAGGGUAAUCGGCCACACUGGGACUGAGACACGGCCCAGACUCCUACGGGAGGCAGCAGUAGGGAAUCUUCCACAAUGGACGAAAGUCUGAUGGAGCAACGCCGCGUGAGUGAAGAAGGUUUUCGGAUCAUAAAACUCUGUUGUUGGAGAAGAAUGUAUCUGAUAGUAACUGAUCAGGUAGUGACGGUAUCCAACCAGAAAGCCACGGCUAACUACGUG
rnacentral:rRNA from 1 species